UGUCGACUUGKACCCUGUUCCCUUGAGGAGUGGCUUCCGGAGCUAACGCGUUAAGUCGACCGCCUGGGGAGUACGGCCGCAAGGUUAAAACUCAAAUGAAUUGACGGGGGCCCGCACAAGCGGUGGAGCAUGUGGUUUAAUUCGAUGCAACGCGAAGAACCUUACCUACUCUUGACAUCCAGAGAACUUAGCAGAGAUGCUUUGGUGCCUUCGGGAACUCUGAGACAGGUGCUGCAUGGCUGUCGUCAGCUCGUGUUGUGAAAUGUUGGGUUAAGYCCCGCAACGAGCGCAACCCUUAUCCUUUGUUGCCAGCGRUYCGGYCGGGAACUCAAAGGAGACUGCCAGUGAUAAWCUGGAGGAAGGUGGGGAUGACSUCAAGUCWUCAUGGCCCUUACGAGUAGGGCUACACACGUGCUACAAUGGCAUAUACWAASAGAAGCGACCUCGCGAGAGCAAGCGGACCUCAUAAAG
rnacentral:rRNA from 1 species